GCCGAGGUGGUGGAACUGGUAGACACACUAUCUUGAGGGGGUAGCGGGCUAGUCCUGUGCGGGUUCGAGUCCCGCCCUCGGCACCA
rnacentral:tRNA from 1 species